GUCCACGCCGUAAACGAUGAGAACUAGAGGUAGGAGCGUCAAGUUUCUGUCUCGAAGCUAACGCGAUAAGUUCUCCGCCUGGGGAGUACGGCCGCAAGGUUAAAACUCAAAGGAAUUGACGGGGGCCCCGCACAAGCGGUGGAGCAUGUGGUUUAAUUCGAUGCAACGCGAAAAACCUUACCUACCCUUGACAUCCUUGGAAUCUUGUAGAGAUAUGAGAGUGCCUUCGGGAGCCAGGAGACAGGUGCUGCAUGGCUGUCGU
rnacentral:rRNA from 1 species